GUUUUCUUUGAAAAAAAAAUCAUCAUGAAUUUUGGCGCAAAAAAAACGCCUUACUAUACUAUGUCGAAAAAAAAUGCGAUUUUUCAAACAUGUUGUAAAAACGUGUCAUAUGAUGAAAUAAUGUAAAGGAGGCCAUGAAAAACACUCCAGAAAGGUUUUCUUUGAAAAAAAAAUCAUCAUGAAUUUUGGCGCAAAAAAAACGCCUUACUAUACUAUGUCGAAAAAAAAUGCGAUUUUUCAAACAUGUUGUAAAAACGUGCCAUAUGAUGAAAUAAUGUAAAGGAGGCCGUGAAAAACACUCCAGAAAGGUUUUCUUUGAAAAAAAAAUCAUCUUGAAUUUUGGUGCAAAAAAAA
ensembl:lncRNA